CUCUGUUGGAAUGACCAUUAAUUUUGCAUCACCUGUCUGGGCCAAUGAAUCUCGGUGAUCUUGGUAUUUAGAAACUAAAGAG